GCGAGUUGAAAAGGGUUGGGAACCACUGCUUUAUUGUAAGGCCUGUGUGGAUGAUGGAGGACGGAUGUUUAAUUCGACUGACACUCUUUUACCAGCUCCAUUUGCAUCACCUACAAACACACACGGCCUUCAUUCAGAGUCGUCACAUCGCUGAGCUUUUGUCUUCUCCAGAUGUUCACUGAUGGACUGGAGUGCUGUGGAUUAUUGUGAUGUUUUUAUCAGACUCUCGUUCUGACGGCACCCAUUCACUGCAGAGCAUCCACUGAUGAGACACUGAAGCAGUGCUACAUUUCUUGAUGAAGAAACACACUCAUCCUGAUCUCUGAUGAGCUGAGAAUGAGCAAAGUUAAAGCAUAUUUUCAGUUUUGUGUGAACUAUUCUUUUAAAAUGUAUGAAAUUGUAAAUAGUUGAUGAUAAAUAAACAAACUUUCUUUUCUGUACCAGUGACAA